UAGAUAUCAUAUAGAGACUAGAUGCCCUAUUGGCCGCUGGAAACCGAGAAAUCCGGCCGCCAUCUUGAACCGGUCGUAUUCCUAGUUUCGUUGCGUGGCAGCAGAUAAGAUGCCAGAGCAUUGUGGAGCAUUUUCCUGUUCUAGUCGUCGGACCAUCGAAAAUAGGGCUUUUCACAAGUGGCUGCGUUCGGUGGAUUCGGUGGCUGCGUUAUGUGUGUGUUUGUGUGUGUGUUUGUGUGUGUGUGUGUGUGUCUGUUCGUGUGUAUGUGCGUGUCACAAAUCAUAAAUUGUUUCUUCAACUUAUUAAAAUAUCUUAUUUUACUGCAA